AUGCAGUCCUUCUUUGAAAAAGGGUUGACGUCAUCCUUCCACAGACAAAACCAAUGCAGGGAUCCUUUCUGGGCAAUCAAGGGUCUAUUUAUACACAAACACACCAUACAUCAAACCACACUGUGUGUGUUAUGCAAUAAGAUGCAGGCAUGUUCUUAUUUAACUGAUCAACAACUGGCUUUACAAAGUCUGGUAUCAAUGGAGAAAACUGGACUUCACUAUUCAAAACCACAAUGGCAUGGUGACCAUGACCCUGACAUUUGUUUCGACAGAGUCACUUCCUGGUAAAGCAUGCCCACUGCUGUUUCGACCUUUUGCCUUUCCUGUUAUGUUAAUCAUCAACCCAGCCAGUGACACAGAGACUUCUUCGUUCGCACUCCUGGACGCUUCCUCCAGAUGCUGGUUUCACAUGGUGGUUUAGAUGUAUUCUACCUGUGUCUAGCACCAUUUGAAAUCAGUGUUCUUGGGGAGGGAAUUGCCACUGGGUCACAUUUCGCAGCGAUGGAUAAUCCCAAGAGAAGUCAAACAAUUACAAACGGGACAAGGAAUCUUUAGUGGGUGGAGUGGCUUUUCAAGAGAAGUGAGGGAAGUGCAUCUAUUGAAUCACAGGAGAACCAGAUAGUGCUCAUAGCUUGCCCUUAGCGCUUGAUGACCUCAAAUGAAUGUGGUGUGAACAAGCCAGCCCGGUCUCACAAGGAAAAUACUGCUGUAUACUGUAAAAAUAUGAUCAACUGUAAGUCACUGUAAAAAAAAAAAUCACCUAUUUUUAAGUAUGGUCAAAUAUGCUGUACAAGUUAUUUUAACUUUUAAAUGAAGUUAAAAUUGGUUAAAUGAAUUUGCCGUGAAAUCAUGAAAUCAUACGUUGCGUAUGUUUUUCUACUAUAAAUCGUGAAAAAAAAUGUAAUUCAAAAUUUAAAAAUGUAUCUUUUCACUUAAACAUAACUUCAAGUUAUACAAGUUAAUUUAAUAUUAAAAAAAAUGAGUUGUAGUGAGUCAUAGUAAAAAGUUUAAGGUUAAGUUGCCAUGUUUAUCCUCUAAAACAUCAGUGUUAAAUCUUGUUUUAAGUGUUUCGGUGAGGUCUGAUUAUCUUCAGAUGUUAUCAUGUGUUUGGAUGAAGCUAUGUACGUGAAUGAUGCAACAUGAAUAUGAUGCAAUAUCUUGCAUUACAACAGGGUAUGAAUUUAUAAAUGUGUGACUGCAAGAGCAAUGCUAUUUUAGUAUUUAUGUGCAAUUAUGGUAUUUAUUAAUACUUUAAAUUAGCUUUUGUUUUCUAUUUUCUUUUUAAUUUAUGUUCAAGCUUUAGUUUUUAAUACUUUGCAUUAACAGGUCUUAAAUAUAGGAUUGAUUUACUAACUACACUGCUCACAGAGUAGGCUGUAGCCUAUUUAUUGUAUGAAUACAUCGUUAAAGAGUUUGUGUGCAUGGGUCUGCUUGUCUUUUUAUAUGAAUUGUGGUGUGUAUUUGUUUUUCAUUCUCUCAUUUGAACUGCUAACUAUGCCUGAGAGGGCUAGUAAAGAGAGAUCGUGUUCUCUGAAGCUCUUUCUCCCUCUCUGGCUGUUCCUGCCCCCAUCUCUCCCCACCAAAGGAUGACUGAUUUCCUCUGGUGCUUGGAGUCCCUUUUAUCAUCUAGCACCAUAUGAAAUCGGUUAUAAUGACUGGGGAUCAAUUCUUCGGCUUCCCAUUGCAUUUAAAGGACCACCAAUGCCCUUUUCCUACAGUAUGUAUGUGUGUUUAGGCCUUUGAAGAGGUUAUUGCAAAUUUUGUGGAAAACAGAAAUGUUUUCUUUUUCAACUGAAUUUGAGUUUGAAUUCUGAAUUUCAAUUAGCUUUGUUGCUAUUUUGAGGAGCCCCAGCUAUGUAUUCAUCACCAAAUAAAAAGGCUGUAAUCUACACUCCAAAGAAUACCCGCUCCCAAACUGACUUAAUUUGCAGUUUAAGUCUGCCUUCUGUUGGUUGGAAGGAGACACUACAAGCUAAAAUUUCGAAUUGUAGUUAAUAUGUGCUGAAUAAUGGUCAUUAAAAUAGUUAAAGUCAAGUCAUUUUAAGUUUUAAGCACUUUUUACAAUAUAAAAGAAAAUCAAAUGUUUAUUUCUUAAUAUCUUCAUGCCUAAUAAUCGCAUUUAGCAGUUGGGUGAUGAUUAUAUAGUUCAUGUUAAUAGUUCAAAAGGAACUAACAACAUGAUAAAGAUGUGUACGCUUAGGGAAUUAUUAACUAUUGUUUCACCAUCAAAUGUGAAUGUGAAGUAUCCUUCCUGUUAUUCUGUGCAUAUGUGCAGAGCCUGGUAUUUGGUUCAGUUUAUAUUUGCUUUAUAUUGAACAUUAUGGGAAUGGAAUGUGUUGACUGAUACUAAUAAAAUUAUUAUAAUAAUGUGUAUGGUGUAUAAUAAAUAAAACCGGACCUACAACAGCAAAGAAUUUGUUUGUAUUUAAGUUUACCAUGAGUAAUGAGCAAGCAUUUCUCACACAAAAAAGGGGUUUACUGACUCAUAGUUACAAAAAGUUUACUCGUUGGGAACUGUCAAGCUUUCCUUUGUGCAUAUACAAUGCUUGAACUGCCUUACAGAAUAGGCAUCAUUAGUUUGCAGUAAACAAGCUUAACGUUUUCAGCUCUAAUGAGGUCUGGACUAUUGUGAGAAAUAAAUCAGCCUCCAAACAAAAAGUUCAAAACUAACUGCUCUUAUCUGACCUUACACAAACUACAUGAACAGCAUAACAUCUUUUACUUAUGUCCCCACAAAGGCCAGAAUAUUUUCAGAAUUGUUCAUUUUUGUAGAAUAUUGGUACUCAAUAUGUAUACAUAUCAGCCUAGGGUGAAUUCAGGUAGAGAAUUCAGGGACACUUUCUGUAAAACAUGUAAUUUAGAUACCUAGAUGUUUAUUAUUAUUAUCUUUUCUUUAUUACUUUUGAUACUUUUAAGGUCGAGCUAUAAUAUUAAAAUUUGAAUACAGUCCAUAUAAAGUGUUAUUUGCAAGCUAUAUACCAAUAAACAUUUUGAGAUCAUGCACUCAUUUCUUUUCAAACAUUUUCUUUUCAAAAAAUGGAUUUUCAGGUAAAGAGGGCCAUUCAUUUAUAAAUAAAAUAUUCUGCAUUUAAAUUAGAAAACACAUGAUAUAUUAACACGUUAUCAGACAAACAUAUUUAACAACAUAUUUAACAAACCCUAAAUUAUAUAACCUAGAGGUUAUGAGUAAAACAAAUCAUGUGUAAAUCCUCAUCUCAAUUCAUGUGUGAAAUUCCAAACAACUGAAAGAACAUGUGUUAACAUUAAAUUUGAUGAAAUCUGAAUAUUCAGAAAUCAAAAUAUUAAUAAAAAUGAACUCUACAAUAUAUUAAAAAUGUGACUAUAACACAAGCAACAAAUAGGCUAAAAAAAAUAAUAAGAGGGACAUUUAAAAUGGUAACCAUGUUUUAUUAAUAAAUAACUUUAAUUGUAUUCAUAUUUUCAGCUUUAUAUUCUGCUCCUCUCAUCCUUUCUUCACUCCAAAGAUUGAACUUCAUGCCUCGACUACCUUUCUAUUUUCUCUUUCCUUUCUUCCAUCUGACUUGAAUUUCCUGACUGCAGUCUCAUUUCUGUUUUCUAAAAAAGUAAAUGAUGCAUCCAUAGUGAAUGUCAAUUAUUUAAUGAAUUUUAACAAAGCAGGAACUGUCCCAAAUUCCCAAUAAUAAACGUUUCCAUUCAGUGAGCAACCUUUAGAAAUUUAAUAAUGAAAAUCUUAUGUCGAAGGGUUUUCCAUCUUUCAUAUUGCACUUAUUUAUAUCUAUCUUUAUAUUUUUUAUUUAGUACAUAGCCUAUUACAAUGAUAGCCUAUAAUAUCUAAUAGUAGCCUACACAAAGUCAAGUGUUGAAAAAAUAUUUACAUUUAAAAUAUAAUUAGUUUUUUGUUUUUAGCUUUUACAUCUUUGUUUUUUAGAUGCAGAGAUCGUUUACUGCUCAGUUGUAUUAAUACAUUUAGAUGCAAAAUACAUUACUUGGAUACAUUUGAAUACAAAAAUGAGAAGAAAAAACAAAACAAAUACUUUUCUGUUAUUUUACAUAGUACACUGCACGAGACAGAGCAGUCGCGCAAGUGUUUCGUCACUAGUCGCCUUAAAUCCCUCCCUUUUCGCCCGCUUCCUAGCAAUCGUCGCCCCCCCUGCCCACUCCUGAUUGGCUACAACUUCAGAUUUCCACCAUAUUCAAAAUCCGUCCGAUCCGUUGAAUAUCGCGAACUUCCCCCUUUCAAUCCACCCCCCAAAAUAACUCAUUUUAAUCGUAUUACGUUUUGUAUACACCGUCUACAGUAGCGCA
rnacentral:lncRNA from 1 species